AUACAAACUUAAACUUUGGGAGGGAUCAUUCUACUUCUAACAUCGCAUUAUGCAAGAAGUAAAACAUAAAGAAUAGCAUUCACAUAGUUGUGACACAGUAUGGCCCAUUUUCUUAUGGUGAUCUCCAUCUCCAUGUUCCAUGUGCGCCAUCCUCCUGGUGAUGAGUCCUCCAAGAACUAGAACAUGCUAUUGCACCUAAUAGAUACUAAUGAAGAUAACAUAGUUGCUUGGAUCAUCACAGAUUGGUACGCAGACCAUUAAAUAUAUUAAAGUGACAACAGAUAUGGCUCCAGCCGUGUUGCCAUACACGUGACACGCAGGUCACAAAUGAGUUACACACAUGCAUCACAUACACAAAGGGACCAUACUGAUCACAAGAUCCAUC
rnacentral:lncRNA from 1 species